AAGGAAUAUUGGUCAAUGGACGCAAGUCUGAACCAGCCAUGCCGCGUGGAGGAUUAAGGCCCUCUGGGUUGUAAACUCCUUUUAUCUGGGAAGAAAUGUACUUUUUCUUGAGUACUUGACGGUACCAGAGGAAUAAGCACCGGCUAACUCCGUGCCAGCAGCCGCGGUAAUACGGAGGGUGCAAGCGUUAUCCGGAUUCACUGGGUUUAAAGGGUGCGUAGGCGGGCUUGUAAGUCAGUGGUGAAAUCUCUCAGCUUAACUGAGAAACUGCCAUUGAUACUGCAGGCCUAGAGUAUAGAUGACGUUGGCGGAAUAUGACAUGUAGUGGUGAAAUACUUAGAUAUGUCAUAGAACACCGAUUGCGAAGGCAGCUAACGAAACUAUAACUGACGCUGAGGCACGAAAGUGCGGGGAUCAAACA
rnacentral:rRNA from 1 species